ensembl:lncRNA
UUUUUUUUUUUUAAUCUGUGUGAUUUUUUUUAAACUUCUUAUUAUAGUUGAUUUAUAAGGUUCUGUUAAUUUCUGCUGUAUAGCAAAAGGACCCAGUCAUACAUGUAUAUAUAUAUAUAUACAUUCUUUUUCUCAUAUUACUUUCAUCAUGUUUAUCACCAGUGAUUGGAUAGAGUUCCCUGUGCUAUAGAGCAGGACCUCAUUGUUUAUCAUCCUAAGUGUAAUAGUUUGCAUCGACUAACCCCAAACGCCCAGUCCAUCCCAUGCAAUGUGAUCUCUGCUGUCUGUACCCUGUGGAAAGUGUGGCAGCCCCUGGCACAGUCAUGGUUCAGAGGAAGCACUGCACACACAAGAGAGCUCAGACAAGACACCUCCACCUCUCCUCUUACAUAUCCCCUCAAAAAGAAAAUUUUUUUCAACUGUGUUUCAUCAGCGGUGUGGAUCCAAGUGCACUGGCUUAGUCCUGACCAGAUUUUGAAUGCACAAUCACAUCCCAACUCAUUAGCGACGAGAAAGCUGAGCUGUCAAGCAUGGCUUCCAAAACUCUAGGGAAGGGGUCUGCAUUAGAGCGAUGCCCAGGAUCCACACACAAGCUGAGCUGGCUUUUUCUUUUCUUUUAAGCUUUAUUGAUCUCAGGGAGAAUGGAAGGCCUGUUCAAAAAAGGUGGGAAUCAGCUCAACAUACUAAUUUAUGUAUUAUUUAUGGACUUCAAGAAGCCUCGACUCAGAGCAAUGAAGAGAAAGGAAUUCAUGUGUAGAACCGCCACUGUCUAUAAUUCCAACUUGGAAUGUUGUCACACAAGGACUGAGAGAUCUCACGAAGGGGAGAAUGGGGUAGCAGAAGCAACGAGGAAUUUUGGAUCAGAGAGUACCACCUCCCCCAUGAGACCUGGAGCAAGUUCCAAGGCCUCUCUAGGCUUCAGUUGCUGUAAAAUGGACAGAAACACCGACUCUCAGGGUGGUUGUGAUAAUUACGUGGGAGAAGUCACGGAUAAAACUCUAAGUGGCUGCAAAUGCCUGUUGGGGGAAUCCCAGGGGAGGAGGGACAUGUGUCCAGCUCCUGGACUUUUACUAUAGAAAAGUCACCUUUCCUGACCUAAGGCCCAUGGGAAGUGGCAACUCUGGCAUCAGUAAAGAUCACCCCCAUUUUUUUGUCUUUUUAGGGCCACACCUGCAGCAUAUGGAGGUUCCCAGGCUAGGGGUCGAAUCAGAGCUACAGCCACUGCCUACACGAAAGCCACAGCAACACCAGAUCCCAGUGGCGUCUGCAACCUGCACCACAGCUCACCUCCACACCGGAUCCCCAACCCACUGAGUAAGGCCAGGGAUGGAACCCUCAUCCUCAUGGAUACUAGUCAGAUUCAUUUCGACUGAGCUGCAGCAGGAGCUCCCUCCCCAUUUUUACUCCAAUAAGACAUAAGAUGAAAGGCCUUCUCCACUAAUUCAGGAAACUGUACUUUCUCUCUGCUCUGCUCUGCCCUCUCCUUCCCCCACAAUCUUUUUUUCUGACAUAAAUAUAAAAGCAGCUCAAUCACCUACUUGCUAUACAGCAAUAAGACCGAUAUUUUGCCUAACUAGAGCCUCCUAACUAGAGUACCGGCCUCUGAGUAUUGGCCACUCUGCCUUCUACGCCAGGGAUGAGAGCCCUGGUCGCCACGUGGUCCCUUCCUGCCCUGGCUUCUUGCUGCCACCAGAGCAGCCGUGGAAAUCUGAUUAUCCGCAUUCUGAGAUGCCCAUCCACCCUGCGUGGAUCCAGCACCCUGGGUCCUCUGACGGGAGGGGGUACAGAGGGUGGACUUGAAUGUCAAGUUCAGCAAAGGAUGCCCACCCCAACACGGGUUCCCAGGACAGCAGUUCUU